UAUACUCUUAUGUUUGAAAGUAAAAAAAUACUAUUUCCAGGUGACUUUAAGGUCAGGAUACAACCUUAAAACCAUGGAAAUUUUGACAUUCUACUGCAUUCCACCGUUCAACAGCAAGCAUUUGAACUUUUGUAAUCCAAAAUCAUCAAAAUCACCCAUUACUUAAAAAACACUUUUUGGUAUUUUUUUUGUCUGUUGCGGAGGUCGGAUUUGCCUAAAAUUCUGUACAGCCUCAAGGCCUAUGACUAUAGAGCAAGUAUGUUAUGAACCACCCUACAAACCAUGAUCCGUUAACCCCCACAAGUCUGCAUGGUCUUCGCGUGGACAUGCACUGUGUACCCCGGCAUGGUGUACCACACUGAAAGCGUUUAGUACAUAUACCCUAUGCCACAGACCAUGCCCCCGUGUUUGCGAUCCCAUAUCGGCCAUGGUAUUAUGCGUGACCCUUCGACCGGCCGGCACCAGGUACGUACCGAGCUUGACCGGUACCCCUUCGACCGGCAUCACACACGGUGCUUAUAGCCAUGUUUCUACCGGCUGUACUUCCCGUGUGACGUGUGUCAGCACGGUGUGUAUUCUAGCGGCUAAUUAGGUAUUAAUUAGUGGACCGAUUGAGCUCCCUCCAAUAUGAAGUCUGGCAAGAGGUAUGGUCUACAAGAUUAUGUAUAAUUUUCCGUCUGUUAUGAAACAAAAAGGGUACAUUCACGCUCGGGGUGAGUGCAAGUUUUUUAGCAGAUGUUUUUUUAUUGAAAUUAUGGUCUGGAUGAUGAUGUCUUAAUUGUUGCGGCUAAUAAAUGGUUAAUUAUGCAACAAAUUAAUCUAAUUCUCCCUAUAUGUUUUAUUUUGCAGAAUUGUUGAACAAAAUUACUCUGAUUCACCUACUAUUAAACAAAUCGUUAAAAUGAGAAAGGGUGGGAGGUCAAAAUUCCACCGCCUUUAACUGCAUGGGUUCUCUCCUCGGUUACGAAAAUCAGGCCAGAAAUUGGGCCAGAAACGCGGCUAGCUGCAGCUCGGUGAGGGAUCGAGCGAGCGGGGGAUCGAGGUAGUUUAUGAGCGAGAGCGUCUUCCACCGAGGCUUCAUUUUCAGCGGUGUGAUGGGCAUAUUAAGAAGCUCACCAAACAACCGUGCACGUCGUUCGUUCGAUAGAGUUUGUUUGAAACAUCGCGAUGGCUGCUUACUCCUUUUUUCGGACUACAGUGUUUGCAUCUCUGGGAGUUGGCUGUUGGCUGCUGCCUGCGCAGAUAAUGAAAGCCUAACAACUUGGAACCUGUCUAGAAAUUCACUGCAGGCUGUCCGUGUGACUGUAAAUGUUUUGCUAUCUAGAAACUAAAAACUUCACUCCAACUACGGUUGUUCAUCCAUGUGAAUGUAACUAUCAUCAAUGGGUUAGUGUUAUAAGUUAAUCCCAUAUCUACUAACUUUGAACCUUAGUUUGUUUCAUCAAGCGAAACUUGCCCCGUGCACUGAGAUCUCUCUGUUGUGUUUUUACCUGAUCCAUUCCUCGGACAUUUGCAGGUAAAAUAAUUUGUUAUAAGUUUUAAAUUGUUCCAAAGCUGAUUUUGUGUCAUUCAUUAAAUUUAACCAAAGUUUAAUGAAUUGUUCUCCCCUGGAAUCCUUUUUAAAUUGAUUUUGUUUUUAAGUGAGUCAGAACACUCAAGUGGAACACUUUCUUUUCUAGGCUGUAGAGAUUGCACGGAAACUGUCUAAUGAGGACAGUAGUGGUGAACACGACGUCUAGAGUCCCCAUCAAGACAACUGCCUCAAACCAUCAUGAGAACACUGGUUGGAUGUUCGUACUGCCCUCAAAGUAAUUUGUUGCCAUGCUGGCUGUCCUUAGACAGGGUUGGCUGCUGCUAGAAAGCGUAGAUGGUGAAAGCAUGCCAACAGAAGGACAUCGGUGAAGGUUCUACAAGAUAGAUUGCUGUGACAUCAUUGAGGUAUAUGCACAUUUUAUGAGCCUUGUGAUUUUAUGAAACUUUUAUUUAACCUGUAUUAUUUCUCAACCACAACUAUGCCAUCUCUGAUACGCAGAGAAUAAAUGCUCAAUUCGCUACAAGUUCCUGACCCAAUGGUGUUCGAUCUCUUGAAAUUAUCAAUGUGUUGUCCAGCCUUUCAAAAGCUUCCCCACCAAAUGACUUUUGGUACUCUGACAUAACGUCUGUCGAUGUCAGUUUUUUUAAAUAACCGGUAUAUCAAAAAUUCAAUUUCGAGUAUACUCAGACUAAGCACUAAGGACUAGUCCUCGGACUAAGGGUCUUCUAUACCUGAAGUCAAUUUGAUUAGGAACCUAGUC